UACACACCGACUGCAACGGAUACCACAUCAUGGUUGUGGCUCUGAGCAGCGUCUUUGACCAGAUGACUUUGCUGAGGCGGCGGGAGCUGGCCCCAGUCCUGUUGGGCUACCUGAAGCAGAGACACGCCUCGGGCUCACCUUGUGG